GAUGAAGAACGCAGCGAAAUGCGAUAAGUAAUGCGAAUUGCAGAAUUUCCGUGAAUCAUCGAGUCUUUGAACGCACAUUGCGCCCCCUGGUAUUCCGGGGGGCAUGCCUGUCCGAGCGUCAUUGCUGCCCUCAAGCACGGCUUGUGUGUUGGGCCCCGUCCUCCGAUCCCGGGGGACGGGCCCGAAAGGCAGCGGCGGCACCGCGUCCGGUCCUCGAGCGUAUGGGGCUUUGUCACCCGCUCUGUAGGCCCGGCCGGCGCUUGCCGAUCAACCCAAAUUUUUAUCCAGGUUGACCUCGGAUCAGGUAGGGAUACCCGCUGAACUUAAGCAUAUCAAUAAGCGGAGGA
rnacentral:misc_RNA from 1 species